GACGAACGCUGGCGGCGUGCUUAACACAUGCAACUCGAACGGAAAGGCCCUGCUUUUGUGGGUUGCUCGAGUGGCGAACGGGUGAGUAACACGUGAGUAACCUGCCCUUGCCUUUGUGAUAACUUCAGGAAACUGGGGCUAAUACCGGAUAUCAGCUUCUGCUGCAUUGUGGGGGUGGGAAAGUUUCGGCGGUUGGGGAUGGACUCGCGGCUUAUCAGCUUGUUGGUGGGGUAGUGGCUUACCAAGGCUUUGACGGGUAGCCGGCCUGAGAGGGUGACCGGCCAAAUUGGGACUGAGAUACGGCCCAGACUCCUACGGGAGGCAGCAGUGGGGAAUAUUGCACAAUGGGCGGAAGCCUGAUGCAGCAACGCCGCGUGCGGGAUGACGGCCUUCGGGUUGUAAACCGCUUUCGCCUGUGACGAAGCGUGAGUGACGGUAAUGGGUAAAGAAGCACCGGCUAACUACGUG
rnacentral:rRNA from 1 species